rnacentral:rRNA from 1 species
CCUACGGGUGGCAGCAGUGGGGAAUAUUGGACAAUGGGGGGAACCCUGAUCCAGCGACGCCGCGUGAGUGAAGAAGUAUUUCGGUAUGUAAAGCUCUAUCAGCAGGGAAGAAAGAAAUGACGGUACCUGAAGAAGAAGCCCCGGCUACCUACGUGCCAGCAGCCGCGGUAAUACGUAGGGGGCAAGCGUUAUCCGGAUUUACUGGGGGUAAAGGGGGCGCAGACGGCGAUGCAAGCCAGGGGUUAAAGCCCGGGGCCCAACCCCGGGACUGCUCUUGGAACUGCGUGGCUAGAGUGCAGGAGGGGGAGGCGGAAUUCCUGGUGUAGCGGUGAAAUGCGUAGAUAUCAGGAGGAACACCGGUGGCGAAGGCGGCCUGCUGGACUGCAACUGACGUUGAGGCCCGAAAGCGUGGGGAGCAAACAGGAUUAGAUACCCGUGUGUC